rnacentral:rRNA from 1 species
GACGAACGCUGGCGGCGUGCUUAACACAUGCAAGUCGAACGGAAAGGCCCUGCUUUUGUGGUGUGCUCGAGUGGCGAACGGGUGAGUAACACGUGAGUAACCUGCCCUUGACUUUGGGAUAACUUCAGGAAACUGGGGCUAAUACCGGAUAGGAGCUCCUGCUGCAUGGUGGGGGUUGGAAAGUUUCGGCGGUUGGGGAUGGACUCGCGGCUUAUCAGCUUGUUGGUGGGGUAGUGGCUUACCAAGGCUUUGACGGGUAGCCGGCCUGAGAGGGUGACCGGCCACAUUGGGACUGAGAUACGGACCAGACUGCUACGGGAGGCAGCAGUGGGGAAUAUUGCACAAUGGGCGGAAGCCUGAGGCAGAAACGCCGCGUGCGGGAUGACGGCCUUCGGGUUGUAAACCGCUUUCGCCUGUGACGAAGCGUGAGUGACGGUAAUGGGUAAAGAAGCACCGGCUAACUACGUG